GGCCUUGUAGUGUAGUGACACACUGAAUUGCAAAUUCAGAGAAGCAGCUUCAAUCCUGCCGGGGCUUC
rnacentral:tRNA from 1 species